rnacentral:rRNA from 1 species
GUACACGCUGUGACUAGCAUAUCAAUAAGCGGAGGAAAAGAAACUAACAAGGAUUCCCCUAGUAACGGCGAGUGAAGCGGGAAGAGCUCAAAUUUGAAAUCUUAAAGGGUUUCCCUUUACGAAUUGUAGUUUAAAGAAGUGUUUUCUGUUGAGGUUUUGGUAAAAGUUCUUUGGAAUAGGACAUCAUAGAGGGUGAGAAUCCCGUAUUUGACCUUUACUUUCAACUUUGUGAUACACUUUCAAAGAGUCGGAUUGUUUGGGAAUGCAGUCCAAAAUGGGUGGUAAAUUUCAUCUAAAGCUAAAUAUUGGCGAGAGACCGAUAGCGAACAAGUACCGUGAGGGAAAGAUGAAAAGAACUUUGAAAAGAGAGUUAAACAGUACGUGAAAUUGUCAAAAGGGAAGCGUUUGACACCAGUGUUGUUUUUCUGAAAAUCAAUUAAAGAACUGUUUAUGCUAAGUUGUUUAGACUUUAUCAGCUAACUGUUUAGUUUUGAGCUUUUCUUUAAUGCACUUUUCAGUUAACAAGUCAACAUCAAUUUCUUUUGCUGUAAAAAAGCUUGAGGAAGGUGGCUUGAGAUUCGUCUUAAGUGUUUAUAGCCUCUUGCCUAUGCAGUCGGAGAGAUUGAGGUCUGCAGCGUAGAUCCUUCGGGGCUAAAUGCAUUUGUGCUAAGUUAUAGCAUUUUAUAGACAACUUGUUGACUAUGAUUUGUCUUGUAGCUUACUCGCUUAUGUUAUUUUACCUACGCUUAGGAUGUUGACACACGCGCGUGCUC